rnacentral:rRNA from 1 species
AACGAACGCUGGCGGCAGGCCUAACACAUGCAAGUCGAGCGAAGCCUUCGGGCUUAGCGGCGGACGGGUGAGUAACGCGUGGGAACGUGCCCUUUGGUACGGAAUAGCCCCGGGAAACUGGGAGUAAUACCGUAUGUGCCCCUCGGGGGAAAGAUUUAACGCCAAAGGAUCGGCCCGCGUUGGAUUAGGUAGGCGGUGGGGUAAUGGCCUAACAAGCCGACGAUCCAUAGCUGGUUUGAGCGGAUGAUCAGCCACACUGGGACUGAGACACGGCCCAGACUCCUACGGGAGGCAGCAGUGGGGAAUCUUAGACAAUGGGGGAAACCCUGAUCUAGCCAUGCCGCGUGAUCGAUGAAGGCCUUAGGGUUGUAAAGAUCUUUCAGUGGGGAAGAUAAUGACUGUACCCACAGAAGAAGCCCCGGCCAACUCCGUGCCAGCCGCCGCCGUAA